GCGACCUCGGUGCCAGGGGCCGCGGAAAGACGGGGGGGGCUAGCGUGGUUCGGAAUUACUGGGCGUAAAGCGUGCGGAGGCGGUUUGUUAAGCGAGAUGUGAAAGCCCUGGGCUCAACCUAGGAAGAGCAUUUCGAACUGGCGAACUAGAGUGUUGUAGAGGGGGGUAGAAUUCCAGGUGUAGCGGUGAAAUGCGUAGAGAUCUGGAGGAAUACCGGUGGCGAAGGCGGCCCCCUGGACAAAGACUGACGCUCAUGCACGAAAGCGUGGGGAGCAAACAGGAUUAGAUACCCGUGUAGUC
rnacentral:rRNA from 1 species